rnacentral:rRNA from 1 species
GACGAACGCUGGCGGCGUGCCUAACACAUGCAAGUCGAACGGGAUCCAUGGAGUGCUUGCACUCCGGAAGAUCUAGUGGCGAACGGGUGAGUAACACGUGAGAAACCUGCCCCAGACUCUGGGAUAACCUCGGGAAACCGAAGCUAAUACCGGAUAUUCUCCUUUGGUCGCAUGGCCAGUUGAGGAAAGUUUUUCGGUCUGGGAGGGUCUCGCGGCCUAUCAGCUAGUUGGUGGGGUAACGGCCCACCAAGGCUACGACGGGUAGCUGGUUUGAGAGAACGAUCAGCCACACUGGAACUGAGACACGGUCCAGACUCCUACGGGAGGCAGCAGUGGGGAAUCUUGCGCAAUGGGCGAAAGCCUGACGCAGCAACGCCGCGCGCGGGAUGAAGGCCUUCGGGUUGUAAACCGCUUUCAGCAGGGACGAAAAUGACGGUACCUGCAGAAGAAGCCCCGGCUAACUACGUG